rnacentral:tRNA from 1 species
GAGGGUGUGGCUCAGUGGUAGGGCGCAUGCUUAGCAUGCACAAGGUCCUGGGUUCAAUCCCCAGUACCUCCA